rnacentral:rRNA from 1 species
UACGGAGGAUGCAAGCGUUAUCCGGAUUCAUUGGGUUUAAAGGGUGCGUAGGCGGACUAUUAAGUCAGUGGUGAAAUCCUGCAGCUUAACUGCAGAACUGCCGUUGAUACUGAUAGUCUUGAGUUUGGUUAAGGUAGGCGGGAUGUGUAAUGUAGCGGUGAAAUGCUUAGAUAUUACACAGAACACCGAUUGCGUAGGCAGCUUACUGAGCCGACACUGACGCUGAGGCACGAAAGCGUGGGGAUCGAACAGG